AUAGCUUCUCAGCUUUUCAGCUAAGAUCAAGUGUAAUAUUUGUUUUUAGCAGUUUAGUAUCUGAUAUAUCCUCUAUCCGAGAACAAUAUAUUAAAUGGAAUUUUGGAGCAAGGAGAUGGAACAAGAGCUUGCUCCAUCCACUGCACUCAUUGACCUGGUACUGUAGUACAGGAAUGGUACACCUUCU